rnacentral:rRNA from 1 species
CCUACGGGAGGCAGCAGUGAGGAAUAUUGGUCAAUGGACGCAAGUCUGAACCAGCCAUGCCGCGUGCAGGAAGACGGCUCUAUGAGUUGUAAACUGCUUUUGUACGAGGGUAAACGCAGAUACGUGUAUCUGUCUGAAAGUAUCGUACGAAUAAGGAUCGGCUAACUCCGUGCCAGCAGCCGCGGUAAUACGGAGGAUUCAAGCGUUAUCCGGAUUUAUUGGGUUUAAAGGGUGCGUAGGCGGACGGUUAAGUUAGAGGUGAAAUCCCGAGGCUCAACUUCGGAAUUGCCUCUGAUACUGUGCGGCUAGAGAGUAGUAGCGGUAGGCGGAAUGUAUGGUGUAGCGGUGAAAUGCUUAGAGAUCAGACAGAACACCGAUGGCGAAGGCAGCUUACCAAGCUACUUCGGACGUUGAGGCACGAAAGCGUGGGGAGCAAACAGGAUUAGAUACCCCAGUAGUC